AGGGAGCAGGCAGAUUGCAGUUGAGUAGAGGGGAGAGAUGUUCUCCCAAAACUCUGGAAGCGGUCGCAAUGCUCCAGGCUGUUCCCAUGGAUGAGGCCCCCUAGGAGCUCCACUGUAAGAUGCAUGGCCCGGCCCACGUCCCCCUGUGGGUGCUCAGCGGUCUACUCAACCUCUGGCCCCUGGUCCGCUCUCAGCUAGUGUUUUCCACCAAACCACAGCAUGCUGUGGGUUUACUGGGAGCGCCCCUCACCUUGGACUGUGUAGUGUAUGAACUUGGCCAGCAGAGAGCGCUGUUGGUGCUGUGGGAGAAAUCCGACGACGGAGCGAAGAGUGCCCUGGUGCCCGCUGCCUCCGACCCCGGAGGAGGAGCAAUUCAGCUCCUCAACGGAUCCCUGUUCUUCCCCCUGCUGAGAAAGAGUUACCUGGGGAACUAUGUGUGCAGUGCCGCUGCCGGAGCCCAUCGCAUUAAUGCCACUGUACGAGUGGAAAUGGCCGGUCUGUCAUUUUGCCAUAAAGGGAGAAAGUCUUAUAAUCGAUUGUUUAAAUGUUUUUUCGAGCUAAAUUAGAUGUCUUAUUUCAGGUCUGGGUAGAGUGUUCUACAGCCCCAGGAACCAGACAGUCAGGGAAGGAGAGGCGGUGUUCCUCCAGUGUGUGUCGGGGGAAAGCUCGCCGGCCGCAUUCAUCUCCUGGUUGAAAGAUGGGGAGUUGGUCAAAAGAGGCAAACAGAUUCAAGGUCAGUACGGAGGUGGACACCAGAAAAAGACUUCCGGCACCCUUCAUCUCCCCAACGUCACUCGAGACGAUGGGGGUGUUUAUGACUGUGUCACUUCCAACCCUCUCCUCAACGUUACCCGGUGCAGCGUGGCGGCGACUCUCACGG
ensembl:lncRNA